GAAAUCUAAUUUCAAAAUCUGCUAUGGCUGGACUAAAAUCUGCUUGGAAUUAUUGGAAGGCAAUCAGAUGAAGUAGAUCUGUUGCCAUGUUGAGUGUGCUUACAUGGCAGGUCAUAAUAUAACCUGUGAGUUCUACCCUUCUUGUGACAGAUGUGCUUGAGGCUUUGUUUUCCAUCAGUUACAUGUUGAUGCCACUACACUUUUACCGAGAAAGUUACAAACCAAGUUCAGUCAGUAAGAGGUCAUUUUU
rnacentral:misc_RNA from 1 species